CCUACGGGGCGCAGCAGUGGGGGAUAUUGCACAAUGGGGGAAACCCUGAUGCAGCGACGCCGCGUGUGGGAAGACGGUCUUCUGGAUUGUAAACCACUGUCCCCAGGGACGAAAAUGACGGUACCUGGGGAGGAAGCUCCGGCUAACUACGUGCCAGCAGCCGCGGUAAUACGUAGGGAGCAAGCGUUGUCCGGAAUUACUGGGUGUAAAGGGAGCGUAGACGGCCAGACAAGUCUGAAGUGAAAAUCCAGCGCUUAACGUUGGAAGUGCUUUGGAAACUGCCGGGCUGGAGUGCAGGAGGGGCA
rnacentral:rRNA from 1 species